CCUACGGGGGGCAGCAGUGGGGAAUUUUGGACAAUGGGCGCAAGCCUGAUCCAGCUAUUCCGCGUGUGGGAUGAAGGCCCUCGGGUUGUAAACCACUUUUGUAGAGAACGAAAAGACACCUUGUAAUAAAGGGUGGUGCUGACGGUACUCGAAGAAUAAGCACCGGCCAACUACGUGCCAGCAGCCGCGGUAAUACGGAGGGUCCGGGCGUUAUCCGGAUUUAUUGGGUUGAAGGGGAGCUUAGGCGGCAUGUCCAGCGUGCUGUGAAAGGUCCGGGCUCAACCCGGGCCUUGCAGCGCGAACUGGCGUGCUUGAGUCCGCGGAAAGCAGGCGGAAUGCGUCGUGUAGCGGUGAAAUGCUUAGAUAUGACGAAGAACCCCGAUUGCGAAGGCAGCUUGCUGCAGCGGAACUGACGCUGAUGCUCGAAAGCGCGGGUAUCGAACAGGAUUAGAUACCCGUGUAGUC
rnacentral:rRNA from 1 species